AUGGAUGUGUACGGCCACAAACUAAAACCAGGCCAGUGGAGUACGGCUGCAAUUUGGAUUUAUCCAGAGCGUUAUGGCGACUCACGUCCUCACUUCUAUACCCAAUGGACGAGAGACGGACAUGAAGCAACUGGAUGCUUCAACAUGGAUUGCCCUGGCUUCGUACGGGCGAAUGGCGCUGCCAUAUCUCCAGGUGAUGCUAUACAACCAGUUUCUGAUGUUCCCCAUGGGUACAUACAGAGUAUCACACUACGAGUGCUUAAGGACAAAAAAAGCGGAGACUGGUGGGUGUACUACGGCUUCAAUAGCGUUCCUACGGGGGUGGGAUAUUUCCCAAAGUCAUUGUUCACCUACCUGGCAAAUAAGGCAAACCAGUUGGCAUUUGGUGGUGCUGUGGUUGCCCACAGGGCGGCUUCAACUCCUCCGAUGGGUAGCGGUUCCUUCCCUAAUGGUGGUCAAGGGCGCGCUGCUUCUUUCACUAACCUUGGUAUCAUUGACGAGGAGGGGAACAGCAAGCCCAUCAUGGCAGACUUUCCCACGUUAGUUACUAAUAACAAAUGCCACUUUAUUACUCCUAUCAAUCAUGCUGCAUGCCUUUAUGGCGGUCCUGGAGGUUGUGUGAGAUAA
rnacentral:rRNA from 1 species